AAAAUCAAAGACAACUUCUCUGGAAGUCCGAUUUUCUUCGGUGGUCACUGGGAAUUCAGGAGAAUCUGGCACGCUGGGGGUGUCAAAUCACGAACGUCGCCAACAGAAGCAGAUCGCCGCUGGAGCACCGGCGUUCCUCAGCUGGACGAGUGUUGAUUUGGACCGUCGGCUCCGUUCGCUGCUAACAAGAACAUGAAAAAUCAAUACUGUUUGGGGAGAAAGCGUUUGUUUUCUGCAGCUCUCUGGUUGGAGGCGAACUUGUUCUCCAGGCGGGCUUUCUUGUUCAACUCAGAGAGAUCAGAAAUACUCCGAGAACAAGCAGCAGCCCCCUCCCUCCCCCCUCGUUACCCCCCACCCACCUCCCUGCAGCUAUGGCUCAAAUGUAAAUGUCUUUUUGCAUGUUUGAGGAGUUCACAUGGCUCCUCUGCCUUUAAUUGUCCGUCAAUCUCUGGAGCUUUUGGUGGCGGCGUCCAGCCCCGUGGAGAGUCACAAACGAGCAGAUCUGAUCGGGGAUGUGUCUGUUGCCUCCGAACGCCGGCGACAUGUCGUUGUUUUAAUUAAGGAGAAGCAGAAACUUUCUUUUCAGGGGUGAAACACAAACUGAGGGCUUUUAUUUUGUUGUUGUUGUUGGUUUUUUUUGUUACCACUGGAGCUGCAAAUGCUUGACAGCUGCUUUGAGUCGUGCAAACAUCUUCUCUGCGACGUGUUCCUCCCCUUCAGUUCUCCAGCCCUCUUUGUGGUCUUAGGUUGCUGUUAAAGCCAUCGUAAUUGUAUUUACUCCCAGUCUGUCGGCUGCCGUUGUGUUGCUUCAACUUUUUGUUUGAAAAUCAACGACUUGUUCACCCAAACAUGGCGUAAAACACCCCUCUUACUUUUGAAUUAAUGGACAUUUGUGGACUUUUUCAGUGCACAAAGUUGUAAACCUCCAAAAUUGGAUCAAAACAGGAUUUUUUUUACAGGAAUGCACUGUAAAAACAUUGUUAGUUCAUUUUAUUUGUAAAUUUACUGAAUUUGGUAAAUGCUUUUAAAACCAAAUUUUUAAAACUUGACAGAACAAUGUAUAAAAAGUUAAGAUCUCUAUUGUGAUUAAAAAAUACUAAAAAGAAAAAAUUAAGAAAAAACAUUUUUUCAGGAAUGUACUGUAAAGACAUUAUCUUUCUUGGUGAGUUUUUGGAAAACUUUUGAGAGCAAUUUUUGCAAAGAUUGAUCACAAUUUUUACAGAAUUUCAUUUGCAGUAAGGUGUAUCAAAAAUAUAGAGGCUAAUUUGUUGACAUUAUCAGUGCGCAAAGCUGUAAAUCCAUAAAAAGUUAAAUAAAAACUACAGUUGUUAGAGGCAUGCACUGUAAAAUCAUUCCUACUUGAUUUUAUUUUGAAAAUGUGCUAGAUUUAUCAAAACUAAAUUUUAUUUGCACUAAUGUGUAUGUAAUGUAUAUGUAGAUUGUGAAACUCGAUUGUUGAUAUUAUUACUGCACAAAACCCCAUUUCUUGACUUACACCUACACUGUAAAAACAUAUACAAAAAACAUACCCAGUAUGUAAAAACAUACCCAGUUGAUUCUUUUGGGAUAGCCUUUAUGCUUUUGCUUAACUUAUGGAACACAUUUUUUGUAAAAAAUUAAUCACUUUUUUGGGGGGAGAAAACAUUCAGAUUACAAUUUUUUUUUUAAAGAAUAUGCAUUUUUUCUGCUUUUGCAGCAAAAGUAUAUUACUGGAACUUAAGUUAGCAGGAAGGACUCAACGAUUCUAUUCUACAUUAACUGUAGGUUCUUUUUUUGCAUCAAUUGUCAUAGGGAAAUGACACAUUGAAGAACAAGGAAUGUUUUUUAAACCAGAGAUGCAUCUCAGUAAAAAGCCCCACAAAUGCCAUUCAUCUAACCAGAGUUUUGUGUUCUUAGACGAAGGAAUUAAUAGUAGUUAAAAAAAAAGUUUUGGGGGGGCACAAAGUUUUUACACCCCUCACUCUUAACUGUACUUUCUAUUGGUGUUUUUAUGAAUAUGUUGUGCAUUUGUGGUUUUAAAAAUUAAAAACCUUUUCUUCUGCAAA